rnacentral:rRNA from 1 species
GACGGAAGGUGCAAGCGUUGCUCGGAAUCACUGGGCGUAAAGCGAGCGUAGGCGGCCCGAUAAGUCUGCUGUGAAAGUCAACGGCUCAACCGUUGAAAGCCGGUGGAUACUGUCGGGCUAGAGUUCGGAAGAGGCAAGUGGAAUUCCUGGUGUAGCGGUGGAAUGCGCAGAGUAUCAGGAGGAACACCCAUAGCGAAGGCAGCUUGCCUGGGACGAUACUGACGCUAAGGCUCGAAAGCGUGGGGAGCGAACAGG